AUCCUGCACCUCCUCCAUGAUGGCCGCCAUUUCUUGAUCCGUUAAGUGACCUCUAUCGAUUCGGUGCUGCCGGAUGCAAAACUCAACUCAGCAGAUCACUUCAAAUGCUAACAGUAUUCGAUGGAUCCAAAUCGUCUCGCCAUUCCGGAUGGAUCUGAAACUCAACUCGACAGCUCACUUCAAGUGUUAUUUUGGUUGCUGGAUCCAAAUCAGCUGGCACAAAUUCGAUCGAUCGGAGAAAACGCGCGGCGGCACACCAUGCAUCGAUCGGCCGCGUUUUUGGGUUUUGCUUGGUUGACAGCCCGGCGGGGAAAAUGGAAGGGGGAGAACGAGUCUUGUGAUCAGUCAGUCCACAGAACGAGGCUAGGACGUGUGUCGUGGACACAAGGCAACGGUAGCUGAUUCCUCGGAGCGCGGGACCAAAUUAAAUCUGUUACUUUAUUAUAAUAUGUCAGGCCUAAAAUAAUUAAAUCUAGUACUGUAUUAUUGUUCAUCAGGAGUAGUACAGUAC
rnacentral:lncRNA from 1 species